rnacentral:rRNA from 1 species
GACGAACGCUGGCGGCGUGCCUAAUACAUGCAAGUCGAACGCUUCUUUCCUCCCGAGUGCUUGCACUCAAUUGGAAAGAGGAGUGGCGGACGGGUGAGUAACACGUGGGUAACCUACCCAUCAGAGGGGGAUAACACUUGGAAACAGGUGCUAAUACCGCAUAACAGUUUAUGCCGCAUGGCAUAAGAGUGAAAGGCGCUUUCGGGUGUCGCUGAUGGAUGGACCCGCGGUGCAUUAGCUAGUUGGUGAGGUAACGGCUCACCAAGGCCACGAUGCAUAGCCGACCGGAGAGGGUGAUCGGCCACACUGGAACUGAGACACGGCCCAGACGCCUACGGUAGGCAGCAGUAGGGAAUCUGCGGCAAUGGACGAAAGUCUGACCGAGCAACGCCGCGUGAGUGAAGAAGGUUUUCGGAGCGGAAAACUCUGUUGUUAGAGAAGAACAAGGACGUUAGUAACUGAACGUCCCCUGACGGUAUCUAACCAGAAAGCCACGGCUAACUACGUG